CCGACUCCUACGGGAGGCAGCAGUGGGGAAUAUUGCACAAUGGGCGCAAGCCUGAUGCAGCGACGCCGCGUGGGGGAUGACGGCCUUCGGGUUGUAAACUCCUUUCGUUAGGGACGAAGCCGCACCUGUUUUGGGUGUGGUGACGGUACCUUUGUUAAGAAGCACCGGCUAACUACGUGCCAGCAGCCGCGGUAAUACGUAGGGUGCGAGCGUUGUCCGGAAUUACUGGGCGUAAAGAGCUCGUAGGUGGUUUGUUGCGUCGUCUGUGAAAUUCCGGGGCUUAACUUCGGGGUGGCAGGCGAUACGGGCAUAACUAGAGUGCUGUAGGGGAGACUGGAAUUCCUGGUGUAGCGGUGGAAUGCGCAGAUAUCAGGAGGAACACCGAUGGCGAAGGCAGGUCUCUGGGCAGUAACUGACGCUGAGGAGCGAAAGCAUGGGGAGCGAACAGGACUAGAUACCCUGGUAGUCCAUGCUGUAAACGGUGGGCGUUAGGUGUGGGGACCGGUUUGGUUUCUGUGCCGUAGCUAACGCAUUAAGCGCCCCGCCUGGGGAGUACGGCCGCAAGGCUAAAACUCAAAGGAAUUGACGGGGGCCCGCACAAG
rnacentral:rRNA from 1 species